CUAAAGAUGGUAAUUAAAAAAAAAGGUUUUUAUCCUGGAAAACUGUCACGGUAGAUACAUGCUCCUUGAAUAAUGUGGUGUACCGCAGGGAUCAAUUUUAAGUCCGCUCUUUCUUACCCGUAUCAUCAGAAGUUAACAAAUAUAUUUAUUUUCAUUUUACCGUCACUCCUGUGUGUUAUUUUUUAUAACAUACAAUAUAAAUUGCUAUUUUUCCACCCAAGAGAUCCAUUUUAGUUGUAACGUUUUCAUUACCUCCCAGAUGUACAAUGAAAGCAGAAUUUUUCCUUUGUGCCUAAUGAAGCGUCUGGCGAGUAUUAGUAUUCGGGAUGCUGCAGGUGCUUCCUUUCACAGAUCAGAGACUUGAGCUGGAUGGAUGGCCACGAUCACGUCAGAGGCUUGGGCUCCACCCUCAGGCCAUGGAGAUGUAUGGACGGAUGCGCGUCACGUAACAACCUUCUUCACAUGACUCGGCAACAACCAAUUAAGGUGGUGUCCUUUAGAUGUCCGUUCCCACGUUGAUGAACAUGCGAGCAUGUAGCAGGAUAUUAAAAGGAUUUAAAGGGAAAAAAAAAAGACGGGCGGUCGCGUCACUGAUGAUUCACCUGGAGCCACGAGCAAGGCAAGCAACAAGAGGGAGUCAGCAUUGGCACAUAUUGCUCCACUCAUCAGUAUUCCGCUUCAUCACUCGUCGUUCCUCACGGCUCCGCGUCACCGAUGGAGGAGGAUUCCGUCGUCCGUGGCCUCUGUUGCCUCAUCGGAGCUGAUAAACACAGACCGUGCCGUUUAGUGCAUUGACAAACAAAGAACAUCAAAUUUUCAUCCAUUUUUUUGCGUAUGUAUGCAUUUUUGUUAUGGGGGUUCUUAGAGCUGUGAAAGAUGAUGCGUUACGAAUCUUAAUACAAUCCAAGGAUGCAUUCAUUUUAAAGUGUUAGUUUUGAAAAAAUAAAUAAAAACAACACUUAGCCUUUUCUCUGAAACGCUGGUGAAAGAUUAAUCGUGUCGUAAUUGACUCAUUCAGUACCAUUGACGGCUAUAGACGUCAAAUUGAGUUCAUGUCAGUAAGUUCAACUUGACUCAGAACUCACAAUAUGUAAGCCUUUGUGAAUAUCACCGGAGGCCAUUAUGAAUCCAACAAGCAUCAAUUUGAUCCGGUUUGA